rnacentral:rRNA from 1 species
UUUGUGAUCAAGCUACUAAGGGCAAACGGUGAAUGCCUUGGUGCCAAGAGGCGAUGAAGGACGCAGUCACCUGCGAUAAGCUCCGGGGAGCGGCGAACACGCUUUGAUCCGGAGAUUUCCGAAUGGGGCAACCCGAUCGGGGUAAUACCCGAUUAUCAUUGGAUGAAUUCAUAGUCCAAUGAAGCGACACCCGGUGAAGUGAAACAUCUCAGUAACCGGAGGAAAAGAAGAAGAAAUUGAUUCCGUCAGUAGUGGCGAGCGAACGCGGCACAGCCUAAACCAGUCUGACUUGUCAGGCUGGGGUUGAGGGACCGUAAUGUGGUAUCCAGAGCGCUAGACGAACGGCGUGGAACUGCCGGCCAUAGAGGGUGAUAGACCCGUAGUCGAAAGCGCAAAGGAGCCUAGCGGCAUCCCAAGUAAAGCGGUGCACGUGAAACACUGCUCGAAUCCGCCCGGACCACCGGGCAAGGCUAAAUACUCCUUGGCGACCGAUAGUGAACUAGUACCGCGAGGGAAAGGUGAAAAGCACCCCUUUGAGGGGAAUGAAAUAGUACCUGCAACUGUUUGCCUACAAGGUUUCGGAGCCGCCGCAAGGCGGUGACGGAGUGCCUUUUGCAUAAUGAGUCUGCGAGUUAUUGCCAGUGGCGAGCCUAAGCCGUUAUGCGGCGCAGGCGCAGCGAAAGCGAGUCCGAAUAGGGCGACCGAGUCGCUGGCAACAGACCCGAAGCGGAGGCGAUCUACUCUUGGGCAAGGUGAAAGCUGGGUAACACCAGCUGGAGGCCUGAACGGCUCAAUGUUGAAAAAUUGUCCGAUGAUCUGAGAGUAGGAGCGAAAGACUAAUCAAGCCCCGUGAUAGCUGGUUCUCCUCGAAAUAGUUUUAGGGCUAGCGUCGUGUAACUAGCGCCCGCAGGUAGAGCACUGAAUGGACUAGCGGCCCCACCAGGCUAGCGAACCCAAUCAAACUCCGAAUGGCGGGUUGCCGUACCACGGCAGUCAGACGGUGGGGGAUAAGCUCCAUCGUCGAGAGGGCAACAGCCCAGAUCGUCGGCUAAGGUCCCUAAUCUAGAUUAAGUGGGAAAGGAUGUGAAGUUGCUCAGACAGUGGGGAUGUUGGCUUAGAGGCAGCCAUCAUUUAAACAGUGCGUAACAGCUGACCCAUCGAGCGAUUUCGCGCCGAAAAUGAACGGGACUUAAAUCUAGAACCGAAGCCACGGCAGCAAGCUGAAUGCGUUCAGCUUGCUGGGUAGAGGAGCGUUCCAUGCAGCGUCGAAGCGGGAAGGGAACUGACCGUGGAGCGCAUGGAAGUGAGGAUGCAGACAUGAGUAGCGAUAAAGCACGUUAAAAUCGUGCUCGCCGUAAGCCUAAGGUUUCCUGGGGAAGGUUCGUCCGCCCAGGGUUAGUCGGAAGCUAAGCCGAGGUCGUAAGACGUAGGCGAUGCACAGCUGGUUCAAUAUUCCAGCACCACCUUAGAGGCGUUAUCAGCAGCGAAGUGACGGAGUAGGCUAAUGUAGCGAGGUGUUGAAUGUCCUCGUCUAAGGCCGUAGGAGGCUUGCCAGGUAAAUCCGGCGGGCAGCCCGCAAGGGUAACUCUGAAAGCUGGGGACCCUGAGUCCACGGACAAGGGGGAUUACAUGAUGCCCGACUUCCGAGAAAAGCUUCGUUGUGAGCUUCUAGGGUGACCGUACCGCAAACCGACACAGGUAGGCGAGUCGAGUAGACUCAGGCGCGCGAGUGAACCCUCUUGAAGGAACUCGGCAAACUAGCCCCGUAACUUCGGAAGAAGGGGUGCCUGGUGAUGCUGCAGCAAUGUUGCGUCACUGGGUCUCAGUAAAGUGGGAGCCGCGACUGUUUAACAAAAACACAGCUCUCUGCGAAGUCGUGAAGACGACGUAUAGGGAGUGACAAGUGACCAAUGCGGAAAGAUUAAGGGGAGAUGUCAGCCCGCAAGGGCGAAGCAUUAAACCUAAGUCCCCGUGACUGUCGGCCGUAACUAUAACGGUCCUAAGGUAGCGAAAUUCCUUGUCGGGUAAGUUCCGACCUGCACGAAUCUUGUAACGAAGGCUCCGCUGUCUCCAAGAGGUGCUCGGCGAAGUUGUAGUGGCGGUGAAGAUGCCGCCUGCCCGCAGUAGGACGGAAAGACCCCAUGCACCUUUACUGUAAGCUGGUAUUGGCGUUUGGUCCGUGAUGCUUAGAGUAAGUGGGAGGCUUUGAAGGGAUGGCUUCGGUUGUCUCUGAGCCGCAAUGUGAAACACCACUCUUCGCUAACUAAGCGUCUAACCCCAACCUGUCAGCCAGGUGGGAAACAGUGCCAGCAGGUCAGUUUGACUGGGGCGGUCUCCUCCCAAAUGGUAACGGAGGAGUUCGAUGCUUGGCUCAACACGGUUUGCAACCGUGCCGAGAGCAUAUGGGUAGAAGCCAGGCUAACUGCAAGACCAACAAGUCGAGCAGGUGCGAAAGCAGGACCAAGUGAUCCGGUGGUUGAAUGUGGAAUUGCCAUCGCUCAACGGACAAAAGGUACGCUGGGGAUAACAGGCUUAUCGGGCCCAAGAGUUCAUAUCGACGGCCCGGUUUGGCACCUCGAUGUCGACUCGUCGCAUCCUGGGGCUGGAGAAGGUCCCAAGGGUCCGUCUGUUCGCCGGUUAAAGCGGCACGCGAGUUGGGUUCAGAACGUCGUGAGACAGUUCGGUCCUUAUCCACUGUGGGCGCAGGAGUCUUGAGGGGUUCCCUUCCUAGUACGAGAGGACCGGAAGAGACGGACCUCCGGUGUUUCAGUUGUCGCGUCAGCGGCAGCGCUGAGUAGCUGCGUCCGGAAGAGAUAAGCGCUGAAAGCAUCUAAGCGCCAAGCUCAUCCCAAGAUAUAGACUCCCGCAUCGCAAGAUGCCUGAAGGCCACGGGAAGACCACCCGUUUGAUAGGUCGCAAGUGUAAGCGCAGCAAUGCGUUCAGCUAAGCGAUACUAAUCGGCCGUGCGGCUUGAUCACU